rnacentral:sRNA from 1 species
GUAGAUGCUCAUCCUAUUUCUUAUGACAGCAUAUGCUUCAUAAACCCAGGGAUGAUGCAGAGCCGAUUAUCAGUGCCUAUUGUCCAUGUCACAGAUGAGUAUUUUCAUCGCCGACCGGGCUUAACGUUGAGUGAGGCACUAUCCGUCUGUAGACCUGAUUGUAUUAUUUGUACACCUAUCUUUAUUUUAAGGUAGGUGUUUUUUU